UAAUACGUAGGGUGCAAGCGUUAAUCGGAAUUACUGGGCGUAAAGCGUGCGCAGGCGGUUUUGUAAGUCUGUCGUGAAAUCCCCGGGCUCAACCUGGGAAUUGCGAUGGAGACUGCAAGGCUAGAAUCUGGCAGAGGGGGGUAGAAUUCCACGUGUAGCAGUGAAAUGCGUAGAGAUGUGGAGGAACACCGAUGGCGAAGGCAGCCCCCUGGGUCAAGAUUGACGCUCAUGCACGAAAGCGUGGGGAGCAAACAGGAUUAGAUACCCUGGUAGUCCACGCCCUAAACGAUGUCUACUAGUUGUCGGGUUUUAAUUAACUUGGUAACGCAGCUAACGCGUGAAGUAGACCGCCUGGGGAGUACGGUCGCAAGAUUA
rnacentral:rRNA from 1 species